AUAGAAAUAAUGUUUCUCCACGUGGAUUCCGUGUCGGGUUGAAAUAAUGUUGUCCUUAUUUAGGAAUGUAAAAAAUAUAACGUAAACAGUUAUGUCAUUUUCAAAUACCAAUUACUGUCAUAACCUUAGCUUUCGCUCUCGUUGUGAUAUACAAGUGGUCAUGUGUGGCUAAGCUCAAGUCAAAGACAAGGUUGGUUUGAGUUAGAUUGUG